UCCCUGGUGGUCCAGUGGCUAGGACUCUGUGCUCCCAAAGCAUGGGGUCCAGGUUCUAUCCCUGGUCAGGGAA
rnacentral:tRNA from 1 species